rnacentral:misc_RNA from 1 species
AAAACAGAGCCAGUCUUUUUGUGUCGAAGGUCAGUGCUUCUUCCUCCUCCGCUCCAUCCUCUGCAAUCUCCGCUCCAACUGAUCCACCCGCUGCACCAAUCCGCUCAUCAGUUCGCACUGCUGCGCGCUCCUCUCACAUAGCUCCCCCAACAUCCUCCUCAACGCCUCUGUCUCUGCCGAGGCCUUUGCCAUCGCCUCCUUAAUCCGCACUAUCAUCUCGUCUCCGCCCACAGGUGUUAGAUCUGCCAUCGCCGGGGCUUCAAUUGAUUCUUCGAUUCCCCAGCUUUCCCCGUCGAUUUCUUCAUCACCCUCCUUUAAUACUUCCUCAACCAUGGAAUCCCCCUUUUGUCGUUCUACUACCUCAAUUUCCUCUGUGGCGAUCAGACUAUCAUCCAUCACCUGAUCCCCGCCAUCGUCGGCAGUUGCCUUGUUCUCAUCGGAAUCCGG